CCUACGGGUGGCUGCAGUGGGGAAUAUUGGACAAUGGGGGGAACCCUGAUCCAGCCAUGCCGCGUGUGUGAAGAAGGCCCUCGGGUUGUAAAGCACUUUCAGUGAGGAAGAACGCCUGGUGGUUAAUACCCAUCAGGAAAGACAUCACUCACAGAAGAAGCACCGGCUAACUCCGUGCCAGCAGCCGCGGUAAUACGGAGGGUGCGAGCGUUAAUCGGAAUUACUGGGCGUAAAGCGCGCGUAGGUGGCUUGAUAAUCCGGUUGUGAAAGCCCCGGGCUCAACCUGGGAACGGCAUCCGGAACUGUCAAGCUAGAGUGCAGGAGAGGAAGGUAGAAUUCCCGGUGUAGCGGUGAAUUGCGUAGAGUUCGGGAGGAAUACCAGUUGCGAAGGCGGCCUUCUGGACUGACACUGACACUGAGGUGCGAACGCGUGGGUAGCAAACAGGAUUAGAUACCCUAGUAGUC
rnacentral:rRNA from 1 species